CAGAGAAUAGUUUACAAAAUAUUAAUUUUGGAGAUUAAAGAGGAAGUUAUAUAGAUACUUUUUCUCUGA
rnacentral:tRNA from 1 species